UGGGGAAUUUUGGACAAUGGGCGAAAGCCUGAUCCAGCAAUGCCGCGUGUGUGAAGAAGGCCUUCGGGUUGUAAAGCACUUUUGUCCGGAAAGAAAUCCUUGGCUCUAAUACAGUCGGGGGAUGACGGUACCGGAAGAAUAAGCACCGGCUAACUACGUGCCAGCAGCCGCGGUAAUACGUAGGGUGCAAGCGUUAAUCGGAAUUACUGGGCGUAAAGCGUGCGCAGGCGGUUUGCUAAGACCGAUGUGAAAUCCCCGGGCUCAACCUGGGAACUGCAUUGGUGACUGGCAGGCUAGAGUAUGGCAGAGGGGGGUAGAAUUCCACGUGUAGCAGUGAAAUGCGUAGAGAUGUGGAGGAAUACCGAUGGCGAAGGCAGCCCCCUGGGGCCAAAUACUGACGCUCAUGCACGAAAGCGUGGGGAGCAAACAGGAUUAGAUACCCUGGUAGUCCAGCGCCCUAAACGAUGUCAACUAGUUGUUGGGGAUUCAUUUCCUUAGUAACGUAGCUAACGCGUGAAGUUGACCGCCUGGGGGAGUACGGUCGCAAGAUUAAAACUCAAAUGAAUUGACGGGGUCAUAGCUAUUUCCU
rnacentral:rRNA from 1 species